UAUUUUAUGUGCAUUUGAAAUUAACUACGUUAAAGUGUAGAUAAGAUGUGUACAGUAAGAGUGAGACCUAUCAGCUAGUUGUUAAGGUAAUGGCUUAACAAGGCAGUGACGGGUAACGGUAUUACUUUGUAAUAUUCCGGAGAAGGAGCCUGAGAGACGGCUACUAAGUCUAAGGAUUGCAGCAGGGGCGAAACUUGACCUAUGGAUUUUA
rnacentral:rRNA from 1 species